rnacentral:rRNA from 1 species
CAGCGCGACACCCAAAGAUCGGUUCUGUAGGGAGAUGCAAACACGGCAUACUUUCGGGCGAGCGCUAAUGGCAGCCACAGCCGUAACACCACCCCGCUUCACUAGGACAGUUAUAGAUUACUCCAGCACCGUGAUGAUAUUCGUGAGCAUGUCGACGGCUUCUACCAUGACCUAUUAUCCUCUUCCUUGCAAGGUGGCGCCGUAUUGGGCCCCCACACGUUGUCGGGGCUGUGUAUCUUCUUGGACUUGGAUAAUGAGGCUCUCAUGGCGCCCUUCACGGAGGAUAUCUUUCCUGCUAUCAAAGGCAUGAACCCUGACUCAGCGCCUGGCCCCGAUGGCCUACCAGUCCAGUUUUUUCAGGUGUUCUGGACCUCGGUUAAGGACAAGGUGAUGGACAUGUUCUAGGAUUUCUACAUUGGUACCCUAGAUCUUUCUCGUCUCAACUUUGGGAUUAUUAUCCUUAUUCCUAAGGUUUUCAGGGCCUCCGAUAUCCGCCAAUUCUGGUAG